rnacentral:tRNA from 1 species
ACACUCCUAAUAAAACACAUUAAAUCACCUUGUCUAGGUGAAAUCGCAGGCUAAAUCCCUGUAUGUCUUA